rnacentral:rRNA from 1 species
GACGAGGGCGCGAGCGUUGUCCGGAUUUAUUGGGCGUAAAGAGCUCGUAGGCGGUUGUCGCGUCUGCUGUGAAAACCUAAGGCUCAACCUUGGGCUUGCAGUGGGUACGGGCAGACUAGAGUGUGGUAGGGGAGACUGGAAUUCCUGGUGAUAGCGGUGAAAUGCGCAGAUAUCAGGAGGAACAGCCGAUGGCGAAGGCAGGUCUCUGGGCCA